AAUUUCAGAAGAUCGUGAAUAUUCGAGCCCCCGGAUGCUUAUUACAGCCCUAGCUUUUAGAGUAAAAUCAAAUGCAUUCGGACUCAACGUGGCGAGAAAUCAGAAAAUUUAUUGGUUGCUGGCGGCGUCGGACACAGUCUGGUUGCUGGCGGCGUCGGACACAGUCUGGUUGCUGGCGGCGUCGGACACAGUCUGGUUGCUGGCGGCGUCGGACACAGUCUGGUUGCUGGCGGCGUCGGACACAGUCUGGUUGCUGGCGGCGUCGGACACAGUCUGGUUGCUGGCGGCGUCGGACACAGUCUGGUUGCUGGCGGCGUCGGACACAGUCUGGUUGCUGGCGGCGUCGGACACAGUCUGGUUGCUGGCGGCGUCGGACACAGUCUGGUUGCUGGCGGCGGGUCGGACACAGUCUGGUUGCUGGCGGCGUCGGACACAGUCUGGUUGCUGGCGGCGUCGGACACAGUCUGGUUGCUGGCGGCGUCGGACACAGUCUGGUUGCUGCGGCGUCGGACACAGUCCUGGUUGCUGGCGGCGUCGACACAGUCUGGUUGCUGGCGGCGUCGGACACAGUCUGGUUGCUGGCGGCGUCGGACACAGUCUGGUUGCUGGCGGCGUCGGACACAGUCUGGUUGCUGGCGGCGUCGACACAGUCUGGUUGCUGGCGGCGUCGGACACAGUCUGGUUGCUGGCGGCGUCGUCGACACAGUCUGGUUGCUGGCGCGUCGGACACAGUCUGGUUGCUGGCGGCGUCGGACACAGUCUGGUUGCUGGCGGCGUCGGACACAGUCUGGUUGCUGGCGGCGUCGGACACAGUCUGGUUGCUGCUGGCGGGUCGGACACAGUCUGGUUGCUGGCGGCGUCGGACACAGUCUGGUUGCUGGCGGCGUCGGACACAGUCUGGUUGCUGGCGGCGUCGGACACAGUCUGGUUGCUGGCGUUGUGGACACAGCUGGUUGGCCGGGACACAGGUCCUGGUUCCUGGUUGCUGGCGGCGUCGGACACAGUCUGGUUGCUGGCGGCGUCGACACAGUCUGGUUGCUGGCGGCGUCGGACACAGUCUGGUUGCUGGCGGCGUCGGACACAGUCUGGUUGCUGGCGGCGUCGGACACAGUCUGGUGCUGGCGGCGUCGGACACAGUCUGGUUGCUGGGCGGCGUCGGACACAGUCUGGUUGCUGGCGGCGUCGGACACAGUCUGGUUGCUGGCGGCGUCGGACACAGUCUGGUUGCUGGCGGCGUCGGACACAGUCUGGUUGCUGGCGCGUCGGACACAGUCUGGUUGCUGGCGGCGUCGGACACAGUCUGGUUGCUGGCGGCGUCGGACACAGUCUGGUUGCUGGCGCGUCGGACACAGAGUCUGGUUGCUGGCGGCGUCGGACACAGUCUGGUUGCUGGCGGCGUCGGACACAGUCUGGUUGCUGGCGGCGUCGGACACAGUCUGGUUUGCUGGCGGCGUCGGACACAGUCUGGUUGCUGGCGGCGUCGACACAGUCUGGUUGCUAGGCGCGUCGGACACAGUCUGGUUGCUGGCGGCGUCGGACACAGUCUGGUUGCUGGCGGCGUCGGACACAGUCUGGUUGCUGGCGGCGUCGGACACAGUCUGGUUGCUGGCGGCGUCGGCACAGUCUGGUUGCUGGCGCGUCGGACACAGUCUGGUGUGUGCUGGCGGCGUCGACACAGUCUGGUUGCUGGGGCGCUCGGACACAGUCUGGUUGCUGGCGGCGUCGGACACAGUCUGGUUGCUGGCGGCGUCGGACACAGUCUGGUUGCUGGCGGCGUCGGACACAAGUCUGGUUGCUGGCGGCGUCGGACACAGUCUGGUUGCUGGCGGCGUCGGACACAGUCUGGUUGCUGGCGGCGUCGGACACAGUCUGGUUGCUGGCGGCGUCGGACACAGUCUGGUUGCUGGCGGCGUCUGACACAGUCUGGUUGCCGGCGGCGUCUGACACAGUCUGGUUGCCGGCGGCGUCUGACACAGUCUGGUUGCCGGCGGCGUCUGACACAGUCUGGUUGCCGGCGGCGUCUGACAGUUCUGGUUGCCGGCGGCGUCUGACACAGUCUGGUUGCCGGCGGCGUCUGACACAGUCUGGUUGCCGGCGGCGUCUGACACAUCAUUGGUUGCCGGCGGCGUCUGACACAGUCUGGUUGCCGGCGGCGUCUGACACAGUCUGGUUGCCGGCGGCGUCUGACACAGUCUGGUUGCCCGGCGGCGUCUGACACAGUCUGGUUGCCGGCGGCGUCUGACACAGUCUGGUUGCCGGCGGCGUCUGACACAGUCUGGUCAAUAAACUGCAGUUUUCCAAGUGAUUCUUCAGCUUCCACCUCAUUGGUUUCCAGUUGAACUGAAAAAAAAAAGAAUUUUUUUUUCUCCUCUUUAUUAAAAAAGGAAAGUUUAAUUUCUACCUUUACAUUCUUCAGAACAGCUGCCAUCUUACCUUUCUUUAUAUGUCUGUCCAUCCUGGAAUCUGUUGUCUGCGUGAGACCAAGGUUGCUUCUCAAAGUAAACUCUAGGGUAAGCAGGAGGUUAUUUUUCAUACAAGCAUCUCACGUACUGAACUAGUGCAUUUUGUUUUACCAGGUUUCUUUUGAAGCUGUUCAUGUUCAGCAGUUUUAUGCUCGUUCUCAACUUGCAAGCUCCAACCUGAAAAAGACAUUUUGGCACAACUGACAACAUUUCUGAAACAUUGAGUUUCAACAAACAAAGUUCUACAUUGUCUUUGAAAUAUUUUGUCAUACCUUUGCUAAGGCAAACAGCCAGAACAAAAAAAGCCACAAAUGAAUCAGGUCCA
ensembl:lncRNA